rnacentral:rRNA from 1 species
GCCUUCGAGCAGCUUGCUGCUGGGGGUGAUGGCGUGCCUUUUGAAGAAUGAGCCUGCGAGUUAGUGGCAUGUGGCGAGGUUAACCCGUGGUGGGGUAGCCGUAGCGAAAGCGAGUCCGAAUAGGGCGCCCAGAGUCGCAUGUUCUAGACCCGAAGCGGAGUGAUCUACCCAUGGCCAGGGUGAAGCGACGGUAAGACGUCGUGGAGGCCCGAACCCACUUAGGUUGAAAACUGAGGGGAUGAGCUGUGGGUAGGGGUG